AAAGCUAGAAAGGUGGUCGCCCCGAUUUUAUCGGGGAGGAAAGUCCGAACUCCACAGAGCAGAAUGCCCCAUAACGAGGGGAGUAGGUGACUAUUGGAAAGUGCCACAGAAAAAAAACAAUUUGCCGGGAGGCGAAUUCAGGUGAAAUGGCGAGGUAAAAGCUCACCGCUCAGCCAGCAAUGGCGGAGGCAGGGCAAACCCCAUUUGGAGCAAUGCAAAAAAGGGAGUCCCCCCGCGGGAGAGUCUGGCUCGGGCUCCAUUCCCAAGGUAGCAGCAAGAGCAUUUUUGAAAAAAGAUGCCCAGAUAAAUGACCGCCGUCCUGCUCAGGCGGGAAACAGAAUUCGGCUUAUUGACAGCUUUGGAA
rnacentral:RNase_P_RNA from 1 species